rnacentral:lncRNA from 1 species
AUUGUUGCCAUUUCCAUGAUGUUCAAUAUUCAAAGCAAUUUGGAGACUUCUUGUUCCAGAUGCACCCCUUUGUUCGUUGCUCACAUCAAGUGAUAUCUGACUGGUCUUUAAAGAUCCAAAUUUCACAAUUUUGGAUGAGCCUUGACUGAUCUGAAAAUGUUAGAUUUUUCUCUUUCAUUCUGUUUGAACAUGCUUUAGUGAAGUUGCCUACUUGCUAAAAGGUGUACCCUGAG